rnacentral:rRNA from 1 species
GACGAACGCUGGCGGCGUGCAUAACACAUGCAAGUCAAGGGGGCCCGCAAGGCAACCGGCGAACGGGUGCGUAACACGUGAGCAACCUGCCGAUCUGAGGGGGAUAGCCGGCCCAACGGCCGGGUAAUACCGCAUACGCUUGUGUGGCCUCAUGGCUAGACAAGGAAACCUCCGGGGCAGAUCGAGGGGCUCGCGGCCUAUCAGCUAGUUGGUGAGGUAACGGCUCACCAAGGCUAUGACGGGUAGCUGGUCUGAGAGGACGACCAGUCACACUGGAACUGAGACACGGUCCAGACACCUACGGGUGGCAGCAGUCGAGAAUUUUUCUCAAUAGGGGCGAACCCUGAAGGAGCGACGCCGCGUGGAGGAUG